rnacentral:rRNA from 1 species
UACGUAGGGUGCAAGCGUUAAUCGGAAUUACUGGGCGUAAAGCGUGCGCAGGCGGUUGUGCAAGACCGAUGUGAAAGCCCCGGGCUCAACCUGGGAAUUGCGAUGGAGACUGCAAGGCUAGAAUCUGGCAGAGGGGGGGUAGAAUUCCACGUGUAGCAGUGAAAAUGCGUAGAUAUCGUGAGGAAGACCAGUGGCGAAGGCGGAUCUCUGGACAGUUCCUGACGCUGAGGCACGAAGGCCAGGGGAGCAAACCGGGG